rnacentral:rRNA from 1 species
AAUCCUUGUAGGACCACCAGUGGCGAAGGCGUCAGACUGGAACGCGCCUGACGGUGAGGGACGAAAGCCAGGGGAGCGAACCGGAUUAGAUACCCGGGUAGUCCUGGCCGUAAACGAUGCAUACUAGGUGAUGGCACGGCCAUGAGCCAUGUCAGUGCCGUAGGGAAACCGUUAAGUGUGCCGCCUGGGAAGUACGGUCGCAAGGCUAAAACUUAAAGGAAUUGGCGGGGGAGCACCACAAGGGGUGAAGCCUGCGGUUCAAUUGGACUCAACGCCGGGAAACUUACCAGGGGAGACAGUAGGAUGAUGGUCAGGUUGACGACCUUACCUAACGAGCUGAGAGGAGGUGCAUGGCCGUCGCCAGUUCGUGCUGUGAGGUAUCCUGUUAAGUCAGGCAACGAACGAGAUCCGCACCUUUAUUUGCCACCAAGAAGUUACGACUUCGUUGGGAACACUAAAGGGACCGCCGUUCGAUAAGACGGAGGAAGGAGCGGGCAAAGGCAGGUCAGUAUGCCCCGAAACCCCUGGGCUACACGCGGGCUGCAAUGAUAUGAACAAUGGGCUGUGACUCCGAAAGGAGAAACCAAUCCCGAAAUCAUAUCACAGUGGGGAUUGUCGGCUGUAACCCGCUGACAUGAACGUGGAAUCCCUAGUAAUCGUGUGUCACCAUCGCACGGUGAAUGCGUCUCUGCUC